rnacentral:rRNA from 1 species
AGCUAGUUGGUGAGGUAACGGCCCACCAAGGCGACGAUCGGUAGCCGGACUGAGAGGUUGAACGGCCACAUUGGGACUGAGACACGGCCCAGACUCCUACGGGAGGCAGCAGUGGGGAAUAUUGCACAAUGGGGGAAACCCUGAUGCAGCGACGCCGCGUGGAGGAAGAAGGUCUUCGGAUUGUAAACUCCUGUUGUUGAGGAAGAUAAUGACGGUACUCAACAAGGAAGUGACGGCUAACUACGUGCCAGCAGCCGCGGUAAAACGUAGGUCACAAGCGUUGUCCGGAAUUGCUGGGUGUAAAGGGAGCGCAGGCGGGAAGACAAGUUGGAAGUGAAAUCCAUGGGCUCAACCCAUGAACUGCUUUCAAAACUGUUUUUCUUGAGUAGUGCAGAGGUAGGCGGAAUUCCCGGUGUAGCGGUGGAAUGCGUAGAUAUCGGGAGGAACACCAGUGGCGAAGGCGGCCUACUGGGCACCAACUGACGCUGAGGCUCGAAAGUGUGGGUAGCAAACAGGAUUAGAUACCCUGGUAGUCCACACUGUAAACGAUGAUUACUAGGUGUUGGAGGAUUGACCCCUUCAGUGCCGCAGUUAACACAAUAAGUAAUCCACCUGGGGAGUACGACCGCAAGGUUGAAACUCAAAGGAAUUGACGGGGGCCCGCACAAGCAGUGGAGUAUGUGGUUUAAUUCGACGCAACGCGAAGAACCUUACCAAGUCUUGACAUCCUGCGACGCACAUAGAAAUAUGUGUUUCCUUCGGGACGCAGAGACAGGUGGUGCAUGGUUGUCGUCAGCUCGUGUCGUGAGAUGUUGGGUUAAGUCCCGCAACGAGCGCAACCCUUAUGGUCAGUUACUACGCAAGAGGACUCUGGCCAGACUGCCGUUGACAAAACGGAGGAAGGUGGGGAUGACGUCAAAUCAUCAUGCCCUUUAUGACUUGGGCUACACACGUACUACAAUGGCGUUAAACAAAGAGAAGCAAGAUCGCGAGGUGGAGCAAAACUCAGAAACAACGUCCCAGUUCGGACUGCAGGCUGCAACUCGCCUGCACUAAGUCGGAAUUGCUAGUAAUCGCUGAUCAGCAUGCUGCGGUGAAUACGUUCCCGGGCCUUGUACACACCGCCCGUCACACCAUGAGAGCCGGGGGGACCCGAAGUCGGUAGUCUAACCGCAAGGAGGACGCCGCCGAAGGUAAAACUGGUGAUUGGGGUGAAGUCGUAACAAGGUAGCCGUAGGAGAACCUGCGGCUG